rnacentral:misc_RNA from 1 species
GAUGAAGAACGCAGUGAAAUGCGAUAAGUAAUGUGAAUUGCAGAAUUCAGUGAAUCAUCGAAUCUUUGAACGCACCUUGCACCCUUUGGCAUUCCGAAGGGUAUGCUCGUUUGAGUGUCAUUGUACUCUCACACUCUCCGAUCCUAUGGAUUCGGGGAGCGGUGGACUUGGGUGUUGCUGCCUUUCCCUGUGGCUCACCUCAAAUGCGUCAGUGCACCUCUUGGUUGGACAUAGUACGGCGUGAUAAGUGUCUUCGCCGGCACCUCGCAAGAGGGUGGCCGAUCGGGAGCUCUGCGCUUUCAAACCGUCUUCGGACAAUUUCUGACAUCUUGACCUCAAAUCGAGUAGGACUACCCGCUGAACUUAAGCAUAUCAUAGCGGAGG